rnacentral:rRNA from 1 species
GACGUAGGGGACGAGCGUUGUCCGGAUUCAUUGGGCGUAAAGCGCGCGCAGGCGGCCCGGAAAGUCGGAUGUGAAAUCCCGGGGCUCAACCCCGGAACUGCACCCGAAACUUCCGGGCUCGAGGUAGGUAGGGGAGAUCGGAAUUCCUGGUGUAGCGGUGGAAUGCGCAGAUAUCAGGAGGAACACCGGUGGCGAAGGCGGAUCUCUGGGCCUUACCUGACGCUCAGGCGCGAAAGCUAGGGGAGCGAACAGG